AUUGAACGCUGGGGCAUGCUUUACACAUGCAAGUCGAGCGGCAGCGCGGGGGCAACCCUGGCGGCGAGCGGCGAACGGGUGAGUAAUGCAUCGGAACGUACCCUGGAGUGGGGGAUAACGCCGCGAAAGCGGCGCUAAUACCGCAUAUGCUCUGAGGAGGAAAGUGGGGGACCGCAAGGCCUCACGCUCUGGGAGCGGCCGAUGUCCGAUUAGCUAGUUGGUGGGGUAAAGGCUUACCAAGGCGACGAUCGGUAGCUGGUCUGAGAGGAUGAUCAGCCACACUGGGACUGAGACACGGCCCAGACUCCUACGGGAGGCAGCAGUGGGGAAUUUUGGACAAAUGGGGGCAACCCUGAUCCAGCCAUGCCGCGUGAGUGAAGAAGGCCUUCGGG
rnacentral:rRNA from 1 species